rnacentral:rRNA from 1 species
CCUACGGGAGGCAGCAGUGGGGAAUAUUGGGCAAUGGAGGCAACUCUGACCCAGCAACGCCGCGUGAGCGAUGAAGGUCUUCGGAUUGUAAAGCCCCUUAAGCGGGGACGAAGAAAGUGACUGUACCCGCAGAAUAAGUCUCGGCUAACUACGGGCCAGCAGCCGCGGUAAUACGUAGGAGGCAAGCGUUAUCCGGAAUGACUGGGGGUAAAGGGUGCGUAGGUGGUUUGGCAAGUUUGUAGCGUAAUCCCGGGGCUCAACCGCGGUGCUACUACCAAAACUGUUGAGCUUGAGUGCAGGAGGGGUGAGUGGAAUGCGCGGUGUAGCGGGGGAAUGCGUAGAUAUUGGGAAGAACACCGGCGGCGAAGGCGGUUCGCUGGACUGUAACUGACACUGAGGCACGAAAGCGUGGGGAGCGAACAGGAUUAGAUACCCUAGUAGUC